rnacentral:rRNA from 1 species
UACGUAGGGGGCAAGCGUUGUCCGGAAUCAUUGGGCGUAAAGAGCGUGUAGGCGGCCCGAUAAGUCCGCCGUGAAAGUCCAGGGCUCAACCCUGGAAGGCCGGUGGAAACUGUCGGGCUAGAGUCCGGAAGAGGCGAGUGGAAUUCCCGGUGUAGCGGUGAAAUGCGCAGAUAUCGGGAGGAACACCAAUGGCGAAGGCAGCUCGCUGGGACGGUACUGACGCUGAGACGCGAAAAGCGUGGGGAGCAAACAGG